AUGCGCGUCUGAGCUGGUUUUGCUAAACGCCUUGAAUAAACAAACAAAGUUUGACAGUGGGGAGUAAAGAGACGAGAGAUUUUUGGAAUUAAGUGGCUAGUGUGUAGAAAUAGUUUGGAGUUAAAGUGUGUAGCUGUCGAUAUUCGUUCUGCACACGGCUAUUGAGCAACAGAGGAGGUUUCUGCUCGAAGUUUCGCAGUUAUUUGCGCAGCUGUUUUCAAUCCUGUAGGCGAAUUCUGUGCGUGCCAUUAGCAUUAGCAUUAGCUAGCAACAGAGUCAAUGGACUUUUACUCAGUGUAGCUAACUUGGCUAACAACAUUGGUUGUGAGACAUUGUUUUUUAUUUAUUUUUUACACGAGGAUAUGAUAUAUUUGAAGUGCUGGCUAGACGUCUCAGCUGGAUGCCUACUUCUUCUGCUUCGUCCUUCUGGGACUCAAGUGGUUUUGGACGCCAACAACCUCGUCCUUCACCUCCAACCCUGACACCGAGGAAGAAUUUCCUUCUACCAGACUUCUUCCACAAGGGAGUAUGCUUGCUUGAACCCACAAAGACAGGGAGCGGUGGGCCAUGGGCCACAGACUUUGGGCAGAAUUAUACAGCUUGGUGAGAUCAACUGAGGGUGACCCCGCUUGCUGAAAGAAAACACACAAAUAAGGUUCGUUUCGGGCAACGUCAGCUUCACCGCAACUGUAGCUGGAACACAGACUCCUACACGCCAAGCAAAAAUUUUAAUUGAUGUUUUUAUAUUUACGUGUCGGCAAAUUAGGCAUUGAAAUGAAAUAAUGUCUUCCACUUGUGCCCCAGAACAGCCUGUAAUGUUAGCAAUUAAGCUAUUAAAUUGAAAGACACAAAAAAUAUGAAAACAUGUAUAUAUAUUUAUAUUUGAACACACAUGCACUUUUAAAUUUCACAAAAAACAUGAAUUUUUAUACAAGCAAAUUUAAUGAAUAAAAUUAGAGGAGAUUCAUAUGGGUUGAACUUGAGGAAAUAUUAAAUAAUUAGCCGCAUGCUGUCUCCAUCUCGUAAUAAUGUCACUGUGCAUGUGGAGCUUCCAGUGGUAGAACGGUUAAAGCAGCAUCAAUACUCCCACCUACUGGCUCAUGCCCGUUAGUGUGUGUCUCCGCAGUUAUUUUGCCCCUUUCUCAACCCCCCCACCGCCCACCUUGAGGUUUCCCUUCCUGCUGGAGGAAUGGUAAAGUGAUCUGUUGGUCCCUAAGUGCUUUUUGCUGUCAGUGGUGUUGACGUGGGAUGCAAUAGAAACCCAGCUGAGGCCACCUUGA